UAAUUAAAGGCAUGUUUAACUGUUGACAGGAUCUAAGCCCAGAGUGGUAAACACAGCAGCUGAGAUCUGGCAAGAGCCAGGGCUUGGAAUGGAGAAUUAAACUUGAUCAAACCGAAAUGAGUUAAAGCUUCAAAGACAAUAUCAUAAACUCGUAUUCCCCAAAAGUCAGUGCUUAGCCUGGAUAAUUUGGAAACAUCUGAUCUGCAGAGGAAGCAAAGAGCCAUUACAUCAAGAGACACAGCAAUCCCAGUUGUCUGGUCUGCAAAUCAAACGAGGGUCGUCUGGUCUGGAUGUCUGACGAGAGCAGCUCAGAUUUCGAGUGAUCACCGCAGAUGCUGCAGAGGGAAGACUGAUGGUUUUAGGCAAAGGACUGUAACAGCAGUGAGGAAGGAGUCCUGAUCUGGGGCUGGAGUAUUUUUGUGUACUGAAAGCAGUAAUAGAGGGAACACACUGGGGUGGAUCCUGAGCUGGGAAAUGAUUUCAGCUUCACUGAACACACCACACAUCUGCUCUGUGACGAGGACAGCAGUUGCCACAUAACUUGCAGUAACAUUCUUCAUGUAAUGACAAAUUUGCUGGAGUGAUUUCCACAGAAAAGAAGCAAAUACAGAAACACAGGCA